UAAAAACGUGUUGUGUUCCGAACGCUUUAAAAAAAUGUAAAGGUGUCCGUUCGGCUUGAUCACAUACAGAUUAACUGCAAAAUGACCACAAAGAAAGGAAAGCAUCACGGAACAGGAAUUCCCUAUUCAUUCAGAGAAAAUCGUGCAGAGUUCCAGGGAACGGGAAUUCCACAUUUGGCACAGGCAAAUCAUCUUCCCAAGGGGCAUUUUGCCAAUGGUCCUCGCGAAGUUCCGGCCUUUCAUGGAGGCGUUUCUAACCUCUCAAGGCGAGUCUUUCAGGAUGCCCGGUUGCCUUCGUACUCUCUGGGCAGGAGCAAAAAUAAUUAUUUUGGCG